UGGGGAAUUUUGGACAAUGGGCGCAAGCCUGAUCCAGCCAUGCCGCGUGCGGGAAGAAGGCCUUCGGGUUGUAAACCGCUUUUGUCAGGGAAGAAAUCUUCUGAGUUAAUACCUCGGGAGGAUGACGGUACCUGAAGAAUAAGCACCGGCUAACUACGUGCCAGCAGCCGCGGUAAUACGUAGGGUGCAAGCGUUAAUCGGAAUUACUGGGCGUAAAGCGUGCGCAGGCGGUUUUGUAAGACAGAGGUGAAAUCCCCGGGCUCAACCUGGGAACUGCCUUUGUGACUGCAAGGCUUGAGUGCGGCAGAGGGGGGAUGGAAUUCCGCGUGUAGCAGUGAAAUGCGUAGAUAUGCGGAGGAACACCGAUGGCGAAGGCAAUCCCCUGGGCCUGCACUGACGCUCAUGCACGAAAGCGUGGGGAGCAAAACAGGAUUAG
rnacentral:rRNA from 1 species